rnacentral:rRNA from 4 species
AAAUUGAAGAGUUUGAUCAUGGCUCAGAUUGAACGCUGGCGGCAGGCCUAACACAUGCAAGUCGAACGGUAACAGGAAGCAGCUUGCUGCUUUGCUGACGAGUGGCGGACGGGUGAGUAAUGUCUGGGAAA